AACACGUGGGAAUCUGCCCUUCUCUGCGGGACAACAGUUGGAAACGACUGCUAAUACCGCAUACGCCCUUCGGGGGAAAGGUCCGCCGGAGAAGGAGGAGCCCGCGUCUGAUAAGCUUGUUGGUGGGGUAAUGGCCUACCAAGGCGACGAUCAGUAGCUGGUCUGAGAGGAUGAUCAGCCACACUGGGACUGAGACACGGCCCAGACUCCUACGGGAGGCAGCAGUGGGGAAUAUUGGACAAUGGAGGAAACUCUGAUCCAGCAAUGCCGCGUGUGUGAUGAAGGCCCUAGGGUUGUAAAGCACUUUCAUUGGUGAAGAUGAUGACGGUAACCAAAGAAGAAGCCCCGGCUAACUUCGUGCCAGCAGCCGCGGUAAUACGAAGGGGGCGAGCGUUGUUCGGAAUUACUGGGCGUAAAGGGAGCGCAGGCGGUUCAUUUAGUUAGGCGUGAAAGCCCCGGGCUCAACCUGGGAACUGCGUUUAAUACUGAUGAACUAGAAUACAGAAGAGGAUAGUGGAAUUCCCAGUGUAGAGGUGAAAUUCGUAGAUAUUGGGAAGAACACCGGUG
rnacentral:rRNA from 1 species